GCGCAGCAGUCGCGAAACCUCCGCAAUGCUCGAAAGAGCGACGGGGGGACUCCAAGUGCCUACGCUCAGCGUAGGCUGUUCCCGAGCCUAAAAAGCUCGGGGAGUAAGGGCUGGGUAAGACGGGUGCCAGCCGCCGCGGUAAUACCCGCAGCCCGAGUGGUGGCCGCUAUUAUUGGGCCUAAAGCGUCCGUAGCCGGCUCGGUAAAUGCCUGGGUAAAUCGUCUGGCCCAACCAGACGAAUUCCGGGUAGACUGCCGGGCUAGGGACCGGAGGAGGGAGAGGGGUACUCCGAGGGGUAGGGGUGAAAUCAGCAAGGUGAGUUGCUGAUGUAACUUGCCUUGCAAGUCACAAUCCUGUAAUCCCUGGAGGACCACCGGUGGCGAAGGCGCUCUCCUAGGACGGGUCCGACGGUGAGGGACGAAAGCCAGGGGAGCAAACCGGAUUAGAUACCCGCGUAGU
rnacentral:rRNA from 1 species